rnacentral:tRNA from 1 species
GCUCCCGUCGUCUAGUGGUUAGGACACCAGCCUUUCACGUUGGGUACACGGGUUCGAAUCCCGUCGGGAGCG